AUUGAACGCUGGCGGCAGGCCUAACACAUGCGAGUCGAGCGGUAGCACAGGAGAGCUUGCUCUCUGGGUGACGAGCGGCGGACGGGUGAGUAAUGUCUGGGAAACUGCCUGAUGGAGGGGGAUAACUACUGGAAACGGUAGCUAAUACCGCAUAAUGUCGCAAGACCAAAGAGGGGGACCUUCGGGCCUCUUGCCAUCAGAUGUGCCCAGAUGGGAUUAGCUCGUAGGGGGGGUAACGGCUCACCUAGGCGACGAUCCCUAGCUGGUCUGAGGGGAUGACAAGCAACGCUGGAACGGAGACACGGUCCAGACUCCUACGGGAGGCAGCAGUGGGGAAGAUUGCACAAUGGGCGAAAGCCUGAUGCAGCCAUGCCGCGUGUAUGAAGAAGGCCUUCGGGUUGUAAAGUACUUUCAGCGAGGAGGAAGGCAUUGUGGUUAAUACCCACAGUGAUUGACGUUACUCGCAGAAGAAGCACCGGCUAACUCCGUGCCAGCAGCCGCCGUAA
rnacentral:rRNA from 1 species